AGUGAACGCUGGCGGUAGGCCUAACACAUGCAAGUCGAACGGCAGCACAGUAAGAGCUUGCUCUUACGGGUGGCGAGUGGCGGACGGGUGAGGAAUACAUCGGAAUCUACUUUUUCGGGGGGGAUAACGUAGGGAAACUUACGCUAAUACCGCAUACGACCUACGGGUGAAAGCAGGGGAUAUUCGGACCUUGGGCGAUUGAAUGAGCCGAUGUCGGAUUAGCUAGUUGGCGGGGUAAAGGCCCACCAAGGCGACGAUCCGUAGCUGGUCUGAGAGGAUGAUCAGCCACACUGGAACUGAGACACGGUCCAGACUCCUACGGGAGGCAGCAGUGGGGAAUAUUGGACAAUGGGCGCAAGCCUGAUCCAGCCAUACCGCGUGGGUGAAGAAGGCCUUCGGGUUGUAAAGCCCUUUUGUUGGGAAAGAAAAGCAGCAGGUUAAUACCCCGCUGUUCUGACGGUACCCAAAGAAUAAGCACCGGCUAACUUCGUG
rnacentral:rRNA from 1 species